GCCUCGUGAAUUCAUCUCCGGGGGUAGAGCACUGUUUCGGCUAGGGGGCCAUCCCGGCUUACCAACCCGAUGCAAACUGCGAAUACCGGAGAAUGUUAUCACGGGAGACACACGGCGGGUGCUAACGUCCGUCGUGAAGAGGGAAACAACCCAGACCGCCAGCUAAGGUCCCAAAGUCAUGGUUAAGUGGGAAACGAUGUGGGAAGGCCCAGACAGCCAGGAUGUUGGCUUAGAAGCAGCCAUCAUUUAAAGAAAGCGUAAUAGCUCACUGGUCGAGUCGGCCUGCGCGGAAGAUGUAACGGGGCUAAACCAUGCACCGAAGCUGCGGCAGCGACACUGUGUGUUGUUGGGUAGGGGAGCGUUCUGUAAGCCUGUGAAGGUGUGUCGUGAGGCAUGCUGG
rnacentral:rRNA from 1 species